GCUGCGACCGGUAAACUUUUGAAAGUGACUGCCUGAAUAAACAGUCAUGUGGUGUGAGGACUGCUGCCCUCCUGAUAGUUAUUUUUGUCCAACUAGCUUUGUUGCAGUCCCACGCUUCAUCCUAAUAGGAAUGGACUUCAGAGCGGCACUCAUCCUCCUGCCAAUCAUUUUUAAAGAGAGUGUGAAUCCUCACAUCAUAAUGCAUACCUGCAAACUCGUC